GAUCCUGCUCAGGACGAACGCUGGCGGCGUGCCUAAUACAUGCAAGUAGAACGCUGAAGGAGGAGCUUGCUUCUCUGGAUGAGUUGCGAACGGGUGAGUAACGCGUAGGUAACCUGCCUGGUAGCGGGGGAUAACUAUUGGAAACGAUAGCUAAUACCGCAUAAGAGUAGAUGUUGCAUGACAUUUGUCUUAAAAGGUAGCAAUUGCAUCACUACCAGAUGG
rnacentral:rRNA from 1 species